rnacentral:piRNA from 1 species
UAAGAGCACUGCCUGCACUUCCAAAGGUCC